rnacentral:lncRNA from 1 species
UCAGUCCGUCGUCUCCCCGUCGCCGUCGGUGUCGCGGCACAAGGUCAACGAGAUAGCCGCCGCCAAAAUCCCUCUAUCUCAGCUCCUCCUCCGUCUUCCACACCGCCGCCGCCGCCGCUUCAAUUUUCUCCACAGAAAUCCACCCCCAUCGUGCCGAGCCACCACCGAAGCCUUCCUCUCCCGCUCCUCCUCCCCGUUUCACACCGCCGCUGCCGCUCCCGCCGUCGGAGCCGUGGGAUUGCCGUAAGUUUUUUAUUUAUUCUGCAUAAUUAUAUUUUAUAUAUUUUUAUAUAUUUUAUUAUCAAUGAUUCAUGAAUUAUUUUUAUUAGAAAACAAAAGAAAAAUUAUUUCUUUAAAAAAAAAAAAAAAAAAAAAAAAUCGAAAUAAUGUUGACAGCUGCAAUUUGAUUGAAUUAAUGUGAAGGUGGUUGAAGGGGCAAGAACGAGAGGACAU